rnacentral:snoRNA from 1 species
UGGAAUUUAUGAUGAUAUAAUUUGCGAUCUAGGACAGGAUUACCUGGACAUGCCUAGUCCACUUAAAGGAAUCUUGUGGCAUGCGAAAAGCUAUCAAUCUGAAAUUUCC